rnacentral:rRNA from 1 species
ACCUGGUUGAUCCUGCCAGUAGUCAUAUGCUUGUUUCAAAGAUUAAGCCAUGCAAGUCUAAGUAUAAGCUAAUUUAUACGGCAAAACUGCGAAUAGCUCAUUACAACAGUUAUAAUUUACACGACGAUCAUUACCAAAUGGAUAUCCAUGGUAAUUCUGGAGCUAAUACAUGCUAAAACACCCGACUUUUCGGAAGGGUGGCAUUCAUUAGUACUCAGAACCAACCGCAGGGCAACCUGUGUUUCUGGUGAUCAUAAUGACGGAGCGGAUCGCAUUUUAUGCGACAGUUCGUUCAAGUUUCUGACCUAUCAGCUCCCGUCGGUAGGGUAUUGGCCUACCGAGGCUGUGACGGGUAACGGGGAAUUAGGGUUCGAUUCCGGAGAGGGAGCCUGAGAAACGGCUACCACAUCUAAGGAUGGCAGCAGGCGCGCAAAUUACCCAAUCCCGACACGGGGAGGUAGUGACCAGAAAUAGCAACUCAGGGCUAUGCUCUGUGAUUGCAAUGGGCGGAAAGCAGAACUGUUUGCGAGUAUCUAUUGGAGGGCAAGUCUGGUGCCAGCAGCCGCGGUAAUUCCAGCUCCAAUAGCGUAUAUUAAAAUUGCUGCAGUUAAAGCGUCCGUAGUCGAAUUUCGUUCAAUUCGGAUAGAUGCAGACGCAACUUCGGUUGUUGUCUUGCGCUUCCCGAUUUGAACUUGGGGAGAACGGUGGCAACAUCGCUUUCCCCCGUUACUUUGAGCAAAUUGGAGUGCUCCAAACAGGCUAUAGCUUGAACAGCUCAGCAUGGAAUAACAAGAUAGGACUUUGGUUCUUCUUGUUGGUGACAUGAACCAAAUGUAAUGGUUGAUAAGGACAUACGGGGGCAUUUGUACUUGCUGGAGAGAGGUGAAAUUCUAAGACCCAGCAAAGACAAACAAGUGCGAAAGCAUUUGCCCAGUGUGUUCCUGUUGAUCAAGGACGAAAGUUGGGGGAUCGAAGACGAUUAGAUACCGUCGUAGUCCCAACUAUAAACUAUGCCGACUGAGGAUCGGUGGCCGAGUAUAUGACUCCUUCGGCACUCCAAGAGAAAUCUAAGUCUUUGGGCCCUGGGGGGAGUAUGGUCGCAAGGCUGA